rnacentral:rRNA from 1 species
GUGUCAGCCGCCGCGGUAAUACGUAGGGGGCGAGCGUUGUCCGGAAUCAUUGGGCGUAAAGCGCGUGUAGGCGGCUUGGUAAGUCCGGUGUGAAACCUUGGGGCUCAACCCCAAGCCUGCACUGGAUACUGCCUCGCUUGAGUCCGGGAGGGGAGAGCGGAAUUCCUAGUGUAGCGGUGAAAUGCGCAGAUAUUAGGAAGAACACCGGUGGCGAAGGCGGCUCUCUGGAACGGUACUGACGCUGAGACGCGAAAGCGUGGGGAGCGAACAGGAUUAGAAACCCCCGUAGUCC